rnacentral:tRNA from 1 species
UCCUUUGUAGCUCAGUUGCUAAAGAACUUGCCUACAAUGCAGGAGACCCAGGUUUGAUUCCUGGUUUGGGAA